rnacentral:rRNA from 1 species
UACGAAGGGUGCAAGCGUUGCUCGGAAUUAUUGGGCGUAAAGCGCACGUAGGCGGCUUAGCAAGUCGGAUGUGAAAGCCCUCGGCUCAACCAAGGAAGUGCCUCCGAAACUGCUGAGCUUGAGUACUUAAGAGGAUCGCGGAAUUCCCGGUGUAGAGGUGAAAUUCGUAGAUAUCGGGAGGAACACCAGUGGCGAAGGCGGCGAUCUGGGAAGAUACUGACGCUGAGGUGCGAAAGCGUGGGGAGCAAACAGG